AUUUAAACAUUUACAACUCUUAGAAUUAAUAAACAUUAGAUUUAAUUGCUCCCUAGCUCCUUGUGGAUUCGAUCCCUAAGUACUACAUCUGAACCUCUUUUGAUGAGAGUAACACUCCUUAGGGUAAUUUGAGUGGUAUCAGUGUGACAGGCUGGAGACGAGCUGGAUAAAGCAAAAGGAGCUUUAUGCACAAGGAAGAAGCUCAUUGGAUGGUUUGAAUUAAAGCAAACCUUAUCUCUUGUAAUAGUGCCACUUUAUGAAACCCUCAUCCUAGUGUUGCCUCCUCAUAUAUAUUGUGAACUCUGAUCAAAUUAAUAAUUAAGAAGUAUGGGAUUAUCUCUCUAGACUCUCUCUCUUGUUCAUGAUGAUUCUUAAAUACUCUUAAACAUGAUUACUACAUAAUCUCUCUACAAAUCUCCCAUUAACCUUCUCUAAUCUACCUUAAUCUCUCAAUACCUACUCUAUUCUCUAAAAUCAUAGUUUUUACAGGAGGAGGUAAUCCUAUAAGCAGGAGGUCAUCACAUUCAUAAGGUAGUGGCACUAUCAACUACAGAAGCAGAGUACAUUGCUCUGUCUGAUGCUGUGAAAGAAGGUGUGUGGCUGAAACGUUUUGCUGAAGAGCUUGGCUUUCCUCAAGAGUCUGUAGAGAUCUUCUGUGAUUCACAAAGUGCCAUAGCAUUAUCAAAGAAUGCUGUAUAUCACGAGAAGACGAAGCACAUCGCAACAAAGUACCAUUUCAUUUGUGAUCUCAUAGCUGCUGAUGAAGUACAAGUCUUGAAGAUAGCAACAGAAUACAACCCUACAGAUAUCUUCACGAAGGUGUUACCAGUAUUCAAGUUCCGCGAAGAACUGAGGUUGCUUCGAGUCUCGAAGAACUAAGUUCAGAAGGAGGAGUGCUUGUGACUGGUAAAGGUUACAAGGGUCCGGUAAAGGACGUAGAAGAAGAACUUUUCGGUGAAGAGAGAUAUGGUGACUUCAUAAAAGGGCUUCAUCAGGUAUGUAUGAAGGUAUCUUGUCUAAGGUGGAGAUUUGAAGGUUGUAGACAUGAUAGAAAUACUCUACAUGACUCGGAAGGUGUUAGGUUGAUUGGUUAGAUAUGAUUAUAGCUGAUCCUAUUAACUCUUGUAAGUCCAAUUGAACCGGUCUCUCUCUUGAUGAACCAUACGUGUGUGUGUACACAUGUGAAGAGCGAGUUGGCUCAUUGUACAAGAGCUAAUGAGUUUUAGGUUUGUUAUAGAUGCGAGCUGAUUAUGAUUGUAUCAGUUGCUGUGAUAGAGUGAGAGAGAUUGGUGACCGAGUCUGUAACGGAACUCGCUUGUGAGCGGUUAGUGUUUGCUGGUUCAAUCCCAGCUCCGGUGAGCUAUAGCGGCCACACCUAGUUAACGGUCCGUCCAAGACUUGUAUUUCGAUAGGGAAUUAUAUGUUUUGGCUAUAUUAUUUCCAAAUUCAUUAAAAUUCUGACACGUCAGCAUUAAGAGGGCUUAAACGAAUGCCACAUCAGCCUGAUCAUUUUUUAAUUACUACAAACUUAAGGUUACAUCUUUUUAAAAGAUCCUCAAUUAAUAUAUAAGAGAUUUAAUACCACUGUACUCAUUAGUGGUAUGUACUUUUGUCUUUUACCAUAUAUUUGACAUCUACUCUAAAUUAAACAUGUUGCUUAGCUUUUCUCAUCUAAACAUCGUCGUAUUUUUACAGCCUGAUCCAGAAUCCAUGUCCAAUAAAAAGGAAGAAACAAAUUGACAGAGAUUGAUGCUUCUGAUAAUAGGGAUCGCCAGGUCCCAUCUCCACUCUCGUGAUACGAUCAAUUGCCACCAUCCCUGACUGAACAGACCUUUUGGCGACGGGAUUGGAAUCAAGGAUCAACCUCUCUCUACGCUACAAAAACUUUCUCUUUGCCAUAACCUAAUUAGAAUUGGUUUGUUAAUUUGAUUUCGCAUAUUUUUUCUAUUUUGAUUUUACUGAAUCCAAUUGUAGUUUUCUUAAUCCAAAGGAUCUGACUUUAUUUGGCAAAAACACAAUUUUUCUGUAGUUUUGAUUUUGAUCAUAGAUGAUUGGAGGCACACCAAUUGUGUAUUUAUAUAGAAUCAUUGAUGGAUGUGUGGCAAAUAGUGCUACAAAGCUCUAAUCAAUGGAGCUUUAUAGAAGCGUCAAGUAAAGGAUCGGUCUUAGCAUGAUUAACGAGGCAUAAGAUAGAGGACCCACAAGUUAUUGUCGUAAUAAUCGAUCUUAAGGCACAACAAGAAGAUUCACAUGGCUUUGGCUCUUUGAUUUCACUGAAGAAACACAGAGGAAGUGCAAGCUGAGAAGAAUCAUAGGAUAUUCUUGGUGUAUUGCAACAGUUGUAGUUUCAGUAAUUCAAGAAUUCCCAGAUUUGAAGGAGAAGCAGAAAUUCUCAGCAAUUGCAACAUCACACAAGGAAGAUGAAGAUGAUGGUGUUUCUUGGUAAAAGACACCAACGCUGGAGAAAGAAGGUACAUGAAGUCAGAUCCAAUGGGAACAGAGGAUUUCUGAUUUGGUAUAUUAAAUCAGUAACUAGAUCUUACCAUUCUAGAUCCUGGAAAAGUGAACUCGGUGGUAGUUGUUAUGAUCAGAAGAAUGGUAAAGAUCUAGAGAAUAAAAAGAACUCUCAAAUCAGCAAUUUUGUUCUUAACGUACCGGUCAUAAGAAUCGUUUGAGGAUGGUGUUUCGUGUAGGUCUCUCAUCAGUAUAUGUUUUUAGAGUGAAGAUAUACACGACUAUGGUUCUUUGGCUAAAGAUCUCUUCAAAAGUCAUCAUGUUUCAUUUAAAGGCUCAAAUUUAGUAAAAAAAACUGUUUGUUUUUGCUGCAAUAUCGAUAUGGUUUUUUUCAUUGGUGUACACCUGAUUGCUCGUGGUCUUAUAAUUCGAAAGUUUAGAACAUAUGGAAUGUAUGUUGCUUUAA